GGGAAACGAGAUGGGGGCUGGGGCUAUGAGCCAUCCCGAGCCCUAAGAAGCAUAGGCUCA
rfam:Microcebus murinus cont1.277478, whole genome shotgun sequence.